rnacentral:tRNA from 1 species
GGGGAAGUAGCUAAAACGGAUAUAGUAUCUAAUGGUACUUACAAUAUCAUAUAAAUAAGCAAUAAUCUUUUAAAUUAUUCAAUGUAGGUUCGACUCCUACCUUCCCCA